rnacentral:rRNA from 1 species
UGCCAGCCGCCGCGGUAAUACGAAGGUCCCAAGCGUUAUUCGGAAUCACUGGGCGUAAAGGGAGCGUAGGCGGUGUGGAAAGUCAGAUGUGAAAGCCCAAGGCUCAACCUUGGAACUGCAUCCGAUACUUCCAUACUAGAGGAUUGGAGAGGAGAUUGGAAUUUUCGGUGUAGCAGUGAAAUGCGUAGAUAUCGAAAGGAAGACCAAUGGCGAAGGCAGAUCUCUGGACAAUUCCUGACGCUGAGGCUCGAAGGCUAGGGGAGCGAAACGGAUUAGAUA